GACGAACGCUGGCGGCGUGCUUAACACAUGCAAGUCGAACGGAAAGGCCCUGCUUUUGUUGGGUGCUCGAGUGGCGAACGGGUGAGUAACACGUGAGUAACCUGCCCUUGACUUUGGGAUAACUUCAGGAAACUGGGGCUAAUACCGGAUAUGAGCUCCUGCUGCAUGGUGGGGGUUGGAAAGUUUCGGCGGUUGGGGCUGGACUCGCGGCUUAUCAGCUUGUUGGUGGGGUAGCGGCUUACCAAGGCUUUGACGGGUAGCCGGCCUGAGAGGGUUACCGGCCACAUUGGGACUGAGAGACGGCCCAGACUCCUACGGGAGGCAGCAGUGGGGAAUAUUGCACAAUGGGCGGAAGCCUGAUGCAGCAACGCCGCGUGCGGGAUGACGGCCUUCGGGUUGUAAACCGCUUUCGCCUGUGACGAAGCGUGAGUGACGGUAAUGGGUAAAGAAGCACCGGCUAACUACGUG
rnacentral:rRNA from 1 species